AGAUGCUCGACCAAGCACUCAUAGUCCCGUUCUACACCUCGCCUUGGUCACUGCUUGUAGAUUUUGAUUGGAGACUCUGCUACAUGCCCAAAAUACUGAAGUCACCUUUCAUGAUUUAUAAAAGGUAACACCGGAGACCCAUUGCUUACAUGAAACCCAUGCCCGUACUUGAAGAACCUUAGUUUCCAUUCUGAACCCUUCUGUUCAACACGACGUCACGUUGUCAAUACACUGGGAGAAUCAACUUAUAUGAUAUUGAAAGAAACAAAUCAAGAUGAAAUAAUUAAACAAGUUAUACAGGAAAAAAAAUGCUACAGUUUUACUUUUUUUUCCUUAGUAUAGUUGGGACGUUCAGGGACAAUGUGAAUGUUCAAUAUAAAAAUUCAAAUGGACAGAGAAGAUGAGAUUCAGCUUGUAAGAAACAGGGAGUACUGUCAUCCACAACAAAAAAUAAUGCAACAUCAAAAAUAAUAACAGCUCGAUGUUCCAAGGAAGCAACUUCAGAGGACCACAAAAAACAGAAGUGCUGGCAGCAUAUAUUCUUAUAGACAGGCGGAUGGCCAUAUUAACUGAUUGUGGGAAGUCUCAUGUCGUGCAAAUGGUAGGCAUAGGCACACACACCCAGUUUCUAGGACACACUUCUACCUAAAAAUGUAAAGUUGAAGGAGGGAGCUUCCCACUUUAACCACUUUUCCUUUUCAUAUUUACUGAUUUUUAGGCAAUCAUGCAAUUAUUUCUGAAUACAAAGCCUGGAAGAUUAUGAUACAUUUUCUGGUUGACAUUAAUUGCACCCGACAAUUAUCAAGUUUUUAUUGACAAGCAGAUGUUUAUUUCAUUCAUGUACUAGCAACAAUCAUGAAGAAAACCACGCAUUGCUACUGCAUAGUGAAGGUCCUUUCCACACCCGUGGAGAUAACUUUUGCUUGAACCGCUACAGUACAUAUGUGAAUAGGUUGUGCCAGCAAGCUUCAACAAAUACGCAUGAUUAUUACAUAGGUUAGGAACCGAGAGAAGGAUAAUCUGGGAUAGAUGGAAAUCACUGGCGGUCGUAUAUGGACAGAGCUAGGUAACUGGGCGGCACCGUACGCCGUACGGCUCAAAACAAGCAUUAAGCCUGUAGCAUAGAUAUGUCCAAAACAGACAAAUUUGGGGCCGAGAUCAGAAUCAGAAGCACAACGAUUCACAUCUAAAUAUGGGCACUUAAUAUAUCUAAAUUCAGAUAACUAAAUUCCGUAGUAAAAGUAUGUACUCGCCAUGGGAAAAUAAAUUGCCACACACCUAUGUAAAUCGAUGGAGAGGGGCUCCGUCGGUGAAGACAUGGUUGCCGACCGUCGUGGUGGGAGGAGAUACAGACCGCAUCAAGAAGCAUGCCAACGGACACCAUAACCUGAGGCCGAG
rnacentral:lncRNA from 1 species